ACAGACUCAAAGAAGAGGAGGAAAUUGCUGAGGCCAAGAGGAGGGCUGAGGAGGAAAGUUUGCAGCAGCAACAAAGAGAUGCAUUAAAGCUUUUGUCUUGUCAUGUCAUAAAUGGAAGUGAAAAGAAAAUUCUGGCUGAAGAAGACAUCAUUGAAAGCAAAGAUAAGGUUGCUGAACAGGAUAAUGAGGGAGAUUCUGAUAAUGGGGUCUUGCAAAAUGGCGCUGUUGAUGAGUCAACCAUGACAUCAAUGGCUGAAUCAGAUAUACGGCGAAGUGGUAAUGUGCCUACAAGA
rnacentral:misc_RNA from 1 species